CAUAGUAUCUGUGGAUUAAAGGUGGCUUUUGGGCUGUCGCAGAUGGAUGAGCCUGCGUUGGAUUAGCUAGUUGGUGAGGUAAGGGCCUACCAAGGCUACGAUCCAUAGCUGAUUUGAGAGGAUGAUCAGCCACAUUGGGACUGAGACACGGCCCAAACUCCUACGGGAGGCAGCAGUGAGGAAUAUUGGACAAUGGGGGCAACCCUGAUCCAGCAAUGCCAUGUGUGUGAAGAAGGCCUUAGGGUUGUAAAGCACUUUAGUUGGGGAAGAAAGCUUUGAGGUUAAUAGCCUUGAGGAAAAGGACGUUACCCAAAGAAUAAGCACCGGCUAACUCCGUGCCAGCAGCCGCGGUAAUACGGGGGGUGCAAGCGUUAAUCGGAAUUACUGGGCGUAAAGGGUCUGUAGGUGGUUUGUUAAGUCAGAUGUGAAAGCCUAGGGCUCAACCUUGGAACUGCAUUUGAUACUGGUAAACUAGAGUACGGUAGAGGAAUGGGGAAUUUCUGGUGUAGCGGUGAAAUGCGUAGAGAUCAGAAGGAACACCAAUGGCGAAGGCAACAUUCUGGACCGAUACUGACACUGAGGGACGAAAGCGUGGGGAUCAAACAGGAUUAGAUACCCUGGUAGUCCACGCUGUAAACGAUGAGUACUAGCUGUUGGAGUCGGUGUAAAGGCUCUAGUGGCGCAGCUAACGCGAUAAGUACUCCGCCUGGGGACUACGGCCGCAAGGCUAAAACUCAAAGGAAUUGACGGGGACCCGCACAAGCGGUGGAGCAUGUGGUUUAAUUCGAUGCAACGCGAAGAACCUUACCUGGUCUUGACAUCCUGCGAUCUUUCUAGAGAUAGAUUGGUGCCUUCGGGAACGCAGUGACAGGUGCUGCACGGCUGUCGUCAGCUCGUGUUGUGAAAUGUUGGGUUAAGUCCCGCAACGAGCGCAACCCCUAUUGAUAGUUACCAUCAUUAAGUUGGGUACUCUAUUGAGACUGCCGCUGACAAGGCGGAGGAAGGUGGGGACGACGUCAAGUCAUCAUGGCCUUUACGACCAGGGCUA
rnacentral:rRNA from 1 species